rnacentral:rRNA from 1 species
UACGUAGGGGGCAAGCGUUGUUCGGAAUUACUGGGCGUAAAGGGCGCGUAGGCGGCAUGACAAGUCAGGAGUGAAAGGCCUGGGCUCAACCGAGGAACUGCUUUUGAUACUGCCAAGCUAGAGUGCGGAAGGGGCAACUGGAAUUCCCAGUGUAGCGGUGAAAUGCGUAGAUAUUGGGAAGAACACCUGAGGCGAAGGCGGGUUGCUGGGCCGACACUGACGCUGAGGCGCGAAAGCCAGGGGAGCGAACGG